GUCGGACAUGACAGAAGCGACUAAGGAGGCAUGGACAUCACAGACCUAACACCUCAAUCUUGUGCUUUCCCUCACUAAACAUCUUAUGUUCUGGUUAUUAAGCCUAUUUUACAGGCAUAAUCAGGAUACUUUCAUUCCGAAGAUUGAAAUAAAUUUGCUCUGCCUUAGAAUUGCCCAAUGUCCCACAUGCGCUUCCCUGGAGGCUCAGAUGGUCACAUCUACUAAGCAUAGCCAAGGACAUCUACUUUGCCUGGGCAUGUGGCAGGUGAAUGGGCCAGGGAAGUGACGCCUCCAGAGCAGCCCUCACCAGUGCCUGCUGGAAUUGGUAGAUGAACUCUUCUUUCCGAGGGAGAAAAUAUUCAUUUAUACUGUUUUCUCAUGGGAGCCCAUCCCAGACACUCACAGAGGAUUCGCUUGAUAAUUUACCUUUAUUGGCUGCCUCAUCUUCCUUGAUUCUUUUCCCCUACCUCUUCCUCUAGUGUUUGCGGUCAUCUCUCAAGUAAAUUGCUUGUAUUCAAAAUCUUUGUUUCAGAGUCUGCUUUUGGGGGAGCCAAACUGAGGUAGGGUGUCAGUGACUUUCGUAAUUUUAUUUAUUAAUUUUUCUAGCUUG
ensembl:lncRNA